AUGUUAAAAAAAUGGAUCUUACUCUUUAAUAAGUCAACCUCCUUAGAAAAUCCUUUCCGUAAUGUUGUAAGACACUUAAAAUGUCUGAGCCUGUCAGUUAAAUAACAAGCACUUUUGUGAAGGUAAAUACAAGCCGGACAAUUGCCCUAUUACCUUACAUUGUUGCUUGUUUCCGCUGACUGCAGAGAUCUCUUUUAAUACAGGACCAAUGUUAAAGACUGUUGUUCCCAUCAGUCACUUAGACAC